ensembl:lncRNA
AUGUGUCAAGUAAUUAUCUUUUUGUUUUGUCAUUAUUUGGUUGGGUCUAAUUGUGUUGCUUCUCUCUCUCUCCCUCUCCUUCCUCUCUCUCCUCUCUCUCUCUCCUUCUCCUUCCUCUCUCUCUUUCUCCUCUCUCCUUCCUCUCUCUCUUUCUCCUCUCUCCUCUCUCUCUCUCCCUCUCCUUCCUCUCUCUCUCUCCCUCUCCUUCCUCUCUCUCUCCCUCUCCUUCCUCUUCUCUCCUCUCUCUCUCCCUCUCCUUCCUCUCUCUCUUUCUCCUCUCUCCUUCCUCUCUCUCUUUCUCCUCUCUCCUCUCUCUCUCUCCCUCUCCUUCCUCUCUCUCUCUCCCUCUCCUUCCUCUCUCUCUCUCUCUCCCUCUCCUUCCUCUCUCUGUCUCCCUCUGCUUCCUAUCUCUGUCUCCCUCUCCUUCCUCUCUCUGUCUCCCUCUCCUUCCUCUCUCUCUCUCCCUCUCCUUCCUCUCUCUCUCUCCCUCUCCUUCCUCUCUCUCCCUCUCAUUCCUCUCUCUCUCUCCUCUCUCUCUCUCCUUCUCCUCUCUCUCUCUCUCCUUCCUCUCUCUCUCCAUCUCUCUCCUCUCUCUCUCCCUCCAUCUCCUCUCUCUCUCUCUCUCUCUCCUUCCCCUCUUUCUCUCUCCUCUCUCUCUCCUUCUCCUCUCUCUCUCCCUCUCCUUCCUCUCUCUCUCUCCCUCUCCUUCCUCUCUCUCUUUCUCCUCUCUCCUCUCUCUCUCUCCCUCUCCUUCCUCUCUCUCUCUCUCUCCCUCUCCUUCCUCUCUCUCUCUCCUCUCUCUCUCUCCCUCUCCUUCCUCUCUCUGUCUCCCUCUCCUUCCUCUCUCUCUCUCCUCUCUCUCCUCUCUCGCUCUCCCUCUCCUUCCUCUCUCUGUCUCCCUCUCCUUCCUCUCUCUCUCUCUCUCUCUCUCCCUCUCCUUCCUCUCUCCUUCCUCUCUCUCUCUAUCCCUCUCCUUCCUCUCUGUGUCUCCCUCUCCUUCCUCUCUCUCUCUCUCUCCUCUCUCUCCUCUCUCUCUCUCCUUCUCCUUUCUACAGGUGGUACUCCCUACCUUUAUCCUGGAGAAGCGUUCCCUCCUAG